UACCCUACGGGAGGCAGCAGUAAGGGAUAUUGGUCAAUGGGGGAAACCCUGAACCAGCAACGCCGCGUGAGGGAAGACGGUUUUCGGAUUGUAAACCUCUGUCCUCUGUGAAGAUGAUGACGGUAGCAGAGGAGGAAGCUCCGGCUAACUACGUGCCAGCAGCCGCGGUAAUACGUAGGUGGCAAGCGUUAUCCGGAUUUACUGGGUGUAAAGGGCGUGUAGGCGGGACUGCAAGUCAGAUGUGAAAAUUAUGGGCUCAACCCAUAACCUGCAUUUGAAACUGUAGUUCUUGAGUGAUGGAGAGG
rnacentral:rRNA from 1 species